rnacentral:tRNA from 5 species
GCGGUCGUGGCGGAAUUGGUAGACGCGCAGCGUUGAGGUCGCUGUCCCGGAAACGGGGUGGAAGUUCGAGUCUUCUCGACCGCACCA